rnacentral:rRNA from 1 species
CCUACGGGUGGCUGCAGUGAGGAAUAUUGGUCAAUGGACGUGAGCCUGAACCAGCCAAGUCGCGUGAGGGAUGAAGGUUCUAUGGAUCGUAAACCUCUUUUAUAAGGGAAUAAAGUGUGGGACGUGUCCUAUUUUGUAUGUACCUUAUGAAUAAGGAUCAUCUAACUCCGUGCCAGCAGCCGCGGUAAUACGGAGGAUCCGAGCGUUAUCCGGAUUUAUUGGGUUUAAAGGGGGCGUAGGCGGCCUUUUAAGUCAGCGGUGAAAGUCUGUGGCUCAACCAUAGAAUUGCCGUUGAAACUGGGGGGCUUGGGGAUGUGUGGGGCAGGGGGAAUGCGUGGGGGAGCGGGUAAAUGCUUAG